rnacentral:rRNA from 1 species
UACGAAGGGGGCUAGCGUUGCUCGGAAUCACUGGGCGUAAAGGGUGCGUAGGCGGGUCUUUAAGUCAGGGGUGAAAUCCUGGAGCUCAACUCCAGAACUGCCUUUGAUACUGAGGAUCUUGAGUUCGGGAGAGGUGAGUGGAACUGCGAGUGUAGAGGUGAAAUUCGUAGAUAUUCGCAAGAACACCAGUGGCGAAGGCGGCUCACUGGCCCGGUACUGACGCUGAGGUGCGAAGCGGUGGGGAGCAAACAGGG